GGCCGCCGCCUUUGUCUCCUGAGGGCGGUGCGGGCGCGCCUCCCCUCCUCUGGACGCCUGCCGCAGCAGCGGGGCCCGGCAGCCCGAACACUGAUUUUCCUCGGAAGUUUGCGGGCAGCCCGGCCUCGGCAGCAGUGCCUGCCCGAACCAGAGGUGGUGCCGCCCCGCGCGGAGUUUCCCACCGUGCCCAGCCCCGCGGAGGGUUGUGCGUGCAGCCCACGACCGCGGGGACGGGCCGAGGACCCGGGAGAAAGCGGUGCGGCCGCCGCGGGGUUGGCCUCAGUGGGGCUGCGCCCGCCGCCCGUGGGAGGGGAGCGGGGGACGGAGAGGCCCAGGGCCGAGGACCAUCCGCGGGGAGCUGAGCGCGUCAGCCCAGCCCCCUCUUCUCUACGGGUUUGAACGUCGAGACCAGCGCAGUCGCAGGUGCAGGGCGCUGGCGGACUUCCCAAGGGAGCACCCACCCCACCCGGCGUCCCAGGAGUUCCCGGUCUCCUGUUUACUGUUGGAUCCACACCGACCUCAACAUCCCCUGGCAUCGAGCAGCCGCUGAUGCCCAAGGACAGAACACCCGCCAGCCCGCGGGAGGAGGUCUCUCCGGCGCCGAAGAAUGAGAAAACUGGCAUAGUAUUGAAGAACAAAGUUCUGCAAGCAGAAGGUUUGAGUUUGAAUUCCAGUAACACCAGUUGUGUGACUGAGGAUAAGUUCUACCAAGUAAAUGUCAUGCUGAAUCAAAGACACUGAACGUCUUUAAAAACCUUUUUGUUUGCCCAAUUGCAACCAGAUUAUUGGACCAGUUGGGACACCCAGGAGGUGUACAGUGCUCAUUUAAUGAUACACUCUCCAACUAUGGAUUUUUUGGAGCCCAGCCAGGCUACCACAUUACAUUUGGCUGUCACAUUUGGCCUUCAGCUCCUCUUGGGUGACAGUUUCUCAGACUUUUCUUGUUUUUGAUGACCUUGACCGUUUUGAGGAGUCCUGGUCAGGCUGCAACCUACAGAAUUGAUAUAAUGGCCGACUACUGGGACACAGCUGACGGGAAAACACUGCCCCCAGUGAGCCCAUCUGAAGGUCCCCCAGCCCCUCCUGCCCGUCAGGCUGCAGAUGAGUCCAGGGGCCUCAGACCACAGGACCAGUGGAGGCCUCCUCAUGUCUGAAUAUUUAAACAUUAUAGAUCAAUUAACUGCGGUAAAUAAAAUAAAACAUGUAGACCUAGCCUGGACACUAGGGGGGCCAGCGGAUGUCAAGGGAGCCCCUGGGCCCCGGCCCACCGCUCCAUGAUCCACCUUUGGCUGUGCCGCAGGCCAUCCACUCCGCAUGUCCGGGCCCUGCUCCUGCCGCCCCUCGGGACCAGCUGCCCCCGCCUGGCCCUGCCAUGUGGG